ensembl:snRNA U1 U1 spliceosomal RNA
AUAUUUACCUGGCAGGGGAGACUCCGUGAUCACGAGGGUGGUUUUCCCAGGGCGAGGCUUAUCCAUCGCACUCCAGAUGUGCUGACCCCUGCAAUUUCCCCAAAUGUGGGAAACUUGACUGCAUAAUUUGUGACAGCGGGGACUGCAUUCGCGAUCUCCCCUU